UUUCAAUAUAAUUCUCAUAUGCAAUUGUCUCAAACAAGUAUUUUUACAAUUUAUGCACAGUUUGAAAAUGAGGAAAGAAGAGAUCCAUGCCAGGUCUUCAUCUUAAAAUGGUGACUCAUGGCUAAUUAAAGUCAGAAAAGCAUUGUUAUGUAUAGUAAAUAUUAAUGUUAAUGUUUAGCACUUCUACACAUAAAUGUCUUUGAAUCCCAACUUUUCCACUAAUUAGCUGUGAGAUAGCACAAAUGCCCCAAAUGUCUAUCUUCUCACUUGGAAAAAAAAGCAGUGCAAAUAGUACAUAACUUGUAGCAAUACUGUGAGAACUGAGUGAUAUAUAUGCACACAAACUCUUUGGCACAGAACCUUUUCAUGUGGUAAAUGUGUAAACAAUGUUUUCUAUUAUUAUUAUCUUUCUGAAGAUGAAAUUCGGAUUUUCAGUCAUCUCAUCACCUUAGAGAGCAUGAGGGCGUUAUACAUGGUAAGAACUUAACAAAUGCCUUUUGAAUUAACUAUUUGGAAAAUAUGAAAUUAUUUGCAAAUAGUGAAAAUCUUUUCUCCAAUUUUAUGUUUUUUUUUCAAGGCUGCGAAAGUUUCUAUGGUGUGCUAAAAUUUCCUAAUUUCUCUAUUAUGAAAUAGUGUAUAAUUUUUGAAAAUGCAUAUAGACAUAUUAUGCUUUAAAAAUGAUUCAGUUGUUUUAUUUAAAGAUAUGCCCUACUGUUGAGAUUUUUCCCUUAAAUGUCAUUUUGUCCAUGGAUGUUCUCUAAGCUUCAACCAUUUAAAUUCAGGCUCUAGACUUAACUACUCCUGUACUUAGGUACUUGGUUAUAAAUAUUAACUCUGAGAACAAACUUUAUCAUUAAGCUGACAUUAACCUAUCCAAUUUAUUGACAAGAGAAAACAAAACAAAACAGGCAUAAAAUUUGAAACACCAUUGUGACAUUUAAAUGUGUAUUAAGACAUUUAUAUUAAUGAUAGGAUACUUUAUAAAUAUAUAUAAACUUGAUAGUGGCCAUCAUAACUCCAGCAUCUGUUUUUAGUAGGCUUUCAAGGUUUAAGAUACCAAUCCAACAUUUUGCCUUUAGCAUUUGAAAGAUAAUUAGUGGCUUCAAUUAAAGGCCAAUGAAGGACUUAUACCAUGCAACCCACACAGAAAUCAAACCUAUGAUUAUUCCAGUGUUAUAAUCAACUGUAUUACAGACACAAGAAACCUCUUAAUGAGGUAAAAAACACAAGGAAAAGUCUAUGUUAAUACGUGACCUUAUCACCUUUUACCACGUUAUGAGGCAUCCUUUCAAAUAAAUUAUUAGCAAACAGUACUAUGCCA
rnacentral:lncRNA from 1 species